rnacentral:lncRNA from 1 species
AACAAUUACCUAUUACCGAUACCCCCAUUAAAUUCAAGGUUUGUGAUAUGUUACAAGCAAGUGCAAAGUGCACCAUCACCAACACCCCCCUUAAAUUCAAGGUUUGUGAUAUGUUACAAGCAAGUACAAAGUGCGCCAUCAAGUGCUCUUGUGCCACACCCUCAUCCAUGCACACAUACACAUGUGUCGUGCCCACACCCUCAUCCAUGCAUACAUACACAUGUGUCGUGCCCACACCCUCAUCCAUGCACACAUACACAUGUGUCGUAUGCUUCACGUCUCUGCAUAUGCACUAUCAUUCUCAAC